CAAUAAAAUGUUUGACCUAUCGAAGCAAAACUAACCUAAGAUACAGUGUUUUAUUGUGAGUGUUAGUGUUGAUGUCAGUGUCAGACUUAUUGCAGGAGGUUUUUGUACAGCUGUUGAUUGGGUUUGUAUCACUGUGGUACACGUUCGGUGGAGGCACCCAACUCUCAGUUGGAACUGCGGCUCGUCCCGCUCUGACGGUGCUGCCUCCCUCCAGAGACGAGCUGCAGCAGGGUAAGGCUACAGUGCUGUGUGUGGCCAGUAAGGGAUUCCCCUCUGACUGGAAGCUGAGCUGGAAGGUGGACGGCAGCAGCAGGAGCUCUGGUGUCAAUCUGAGUCCCAGUCAGCUGCAGAAGGAUGGACUGUACAGCUGGAGCAGCAGCCUGAGCCUCACUGAGAGUGAGUGGGGCAGAGCAACAACCGUCAGCUGUGACGCCACGCACCCGUCCCACAAUGCAGUCACCAACAGCCUCAACACAAAGCAGUGCAAUGAUGACCAGUGAAAUAUACACAAAACACAGUCUUAAUAAAGAACAAACAUCACGGUUUUCCAAUUUGCUUUGUAUGCAAAUCUUUUUAAAGCCUGUUUAAUACAUAUGACCAAGUAUGUUUUCUUAAUUUUUUUGCCAAAUAAAAGCUUUAUAAAUCA